UCCCCUAUAGCUCAAUUGGCAGAGCGUUCGACGUUAAUCGAAAGGUUCCUGGUUCAAGUCCAGGUGGGGAGCCA
rnacentral:tRNA from 1 species